UACGGAGGGGGCUAGCGUUGUUCGGAAUUACUGGGCGUAAAGCGCACGUAGGCGGCUUUGUAAGUUAGAGGUGAAAGCCCAGGGCUUAACCCUGGAAUUGCCUUUAAGACUGCAUCGCUAGAAUUGUGGAGAGGUAAGUGGAAUUCCGAGUGUAGAGGUGAAAUUCGUAGAUAUUCGGAAGAACACCAGUGGCGAAGGCGACUUACUGGACACAUAUUGACGCUGAGGUGCGAAAGCGUGGGGAGCAACAGG
rnacentral:rRNA from 1 species